GUAUUGUAUUGCGUUAAACGCGACAUACAUUCCAUGAGACUUCGUUACGGUGUGUGUGUAGAGACGUAGGACCACGGCAAGAGGGCGGAGCCCUCGAGGCCAUAGAACUACAGAGGGUGCACAGGUGUGAGUGGAUGCGUAAACAGAGCGUGCACGUGCCCCCUUUCGAGGACCAGCAACAACUCGUGUCGACGGUUCGGUAAUGAUCCUUCCGCAGGUUCACCUACGGAAA
rnacentral:misc_RNA from 1 species